rnacentral:rRNA from 1 species
AUGAACGCUGGCGGCAGGCCUAAACAUGCAAGUCGAACGGUAACAGGAUUAGCUUGCUAAUCGCUGACGAGUGGCGGACGGGUGAGUAAUGCUUGGGAACUUGCCUUUGCGAGGGGGAUAACAGUUGGAAACGACUGCUAAUACCGCAUAAUGUCUACGGACCAAACGGGGCUUCGGCUCCGGCGCAAAGAGAGGCCCAAGUGAGAUUAGCUAGUUGGUAAGGUAAAGGCUUACCAAGGCGACGAUCUCUAGCUGUUCUGAGAGGAAGAUCAGCCACACUGGGACUGAGACACGGCCCAGACUCCUACGGGAGGCAGCAGUGGGGAAUAUUGCACAAUGGGGGAAACCCUGAUGCAGCCAUGCCGCGUGUGUGAAGAAGGCCUUCGGGUUGUAAAGCACUUUCAGUUGUGAGGAAAAGUUAGUAGUUAAUACCUGCUAGCCGUGACGUUAACAACAGAAGAAGCACCGGCUAACUCCGUGCCAGCAGCCGCGGUAAUACGGAGGGUGCGAGCGUUAAUCGGAAUUACUGGGCGUAAAGCGCACGCAGGCGGUUUGUUAAGCUAGAUGUGAAAGCCCCGGGCUCAACC